UNGCCUUAGCUUCUAUUUUGUUCCACCUCGU
rnacentral:piRNA from 1 species